AGCGAACGCUGGCGGCGUACCUAACACAUGCAAGUCGAACGGGGAUCACAGGGUUAGCAAUAACUCCGUGGUUCUAGUGGCGCACGGGUGAGUAACACGUGGGUAACCUGCCCUUGAGACUGGGAUACCCCCUCGAAGGGGGGCGUAAUACCGGAUACGUUCCUCGGAUCGAAAGGUUUGAGGAGGAAAGGUGGCGAAAGCUGCCGCUCUUGGAGGGGCGUCGCGGCCUAUCAGCUAGUUGGCGGGGUAACGGCCCACCAAGGCUAUGACGGGUAGCUGGUCUGAGAGGACGACCAGCCACACGGGGACGUGAGACACGGCCCCGACUCCUACGGGAGGCAGCGAGUGGGGAAUUUUCCGCAAUGGGCGAAAGCCUGACGGAGUGACGCCGCGUGUGGGAUGAAGGCC
rnacentral:rRNA from 1 species